GGUUUUCUUUGCGUCGCAGACCUGCAGGUUGAAGCUUAAAAGUAGCGAAUGGGGAGCCCUGUGAAAUGGAUGCAGCAGUCUCAGCCUUGGUUUCUGAGGCUGGAAAAGGAUCCUGCUUCUGUAGGACCUGCUUCUGCAGAUGCCAGUAGGAGUCUACUGGGGGUCUACUGCCCUGGGCCCAAAGAGGAGACUGACUUCUGUAUAUGUCUGCAGUGUGUGAGACAACUGAACUACUUUGCCUGAGGUUGGAGUCCCCUCAUUACUGAUCCAUCAAGUGACUCUCUUUGGUCUUACACGUUCUACCCCAGUGAGUGAUGCCAGCUGGAGCAGCACGGCCUCUGUUGCUGUUAAUGCCUAGAAAAUAAUCCCCCAAAAGGAGAAUAAGAAGUCUUUGGGCUUUCUCUUCAAAAAGGAGCCAAAGGCUACUUGAGACCAUCCUGAAUGCCACAGUUGAGCUGAUCUGGGGGUAACUUGCGUGUGGGCAAGAAGACCGUGAUUGUAAACUGAAUGCUAUGAACAUGUACGUGCUCUGUUUGGGAGCCUGCGAGGAAGCAGGUGCUCAGCCCAGGAGGAGGUUUCUCCGAGUGGAUUUCCUGUGAAGUUAAUGUUUGUCACUCAGGCUUAAGUUUUGAAGCACAAAUAAACAUUUUUAAAAAUGGACUUUGUAACAUGGAUUUCAUGUUGAGAUGUUCAUAAUGGGAUUUUAUUCUGUGACUCAGCUAACACAUUCUUGUAUGAAUGAAUGUUUCCCAGAAUAUUUUUAAAGGGAGAGGGAGAAUCUCAAGCUGACUCCAUGCCCAGUGCCACAAUCCUGAGAUCAGGAGCUGAAAUCGAAUCAAGUCAGGUACUUCAGGCUCUGCGCUCAGUGGGGAAUCUACUCCCAUUCCCCCUGCUUGUGUGCACCUUCUUAAAGUCUUAAAAAGUCAGAUGCUUAACUGAGCCACCAAGCUGCCCCGGGUUUCACAGAAUACUGUUAAUAAUAAUUAAAGUUAACAUGGGAUAGGAUCAGAGGUUUUAUCUUGUAAGUUCUCCAAUAAAUUGAUUUUCUGCCCCUCUUAACGGGGCGCCAUCCACCAACAACUUCAGCAUUUCUCAGUAAAAUGUUCUGGACAUAAGAGGGUCAGACACCUAACUUGAGCUAUGCUGGCUUAUCAAGGUGAUUGGAUUUCUUUACUAGUAAAGGUCACUGUCAGAUGGCCGAGUGGACAGACACGCAGUACCGUGUUUCCCACAGUGUUCUUUUUGGACCAGUACUAGGCAAAGAAACCUACUUGGGACACUGCUGUCAUUGAGACCAAGGGACAGUUUGAUGUUGCCAAGCUACAGGGAGAGGCCUUGGCCUCCUGCAGUACCUGACCUGCCCCCUGCUCCUCUCCGUCUAAACUGCUCACCAGCUGCAGGAAUCGGUGCUUUCAAGUAGCUGUGUAGUCGUGAAAGCCCAGGUCUCCGUAUCACACCUGAAUUUCUAAAGUAGAAUUUUGAUUCUGGUGACAAAAUUCAUCCCUCUUGUUAAAUAUGCUGAUAGGAUCUGCCUUUCAAAACCCCAGAGCCAGAGGCCAUGUCGUGGGCUUUGGUGGAUUGGCUAGUGGUGAUUCGUGUCCCCUUGGGAAGGCCCUUGCCAGCCAGCCCAGUAGAGACCCCCUCCACCCAACCCCUGAGGCUUGCACAGUGUACUAGGUCAGACUGUCAGGCUACUAGUCAUCAGGCCAGUAAAUCCCAGGGCUUAAGGGCUAUGUGGCGAUAACUUGGGUUAGUUGAGCCUUACCCUUCCAAUAGAAGCCCAUGUGCUCUGUCUAAAAUGAAACUGCUUAUCCACUAAAUCCAGAUUUACCGGAGCCGUGAUGUCAUCCUUUCGGUGGUAAGGUGGUAAUACAUCUCCAGUGGGACUUAGGCAGCCUUCUGUGCAGUUGACCUCUGUCAAAAUACCAGGGCUUGCCCAUG
rnacentral:lncRNA from 1 species